rnacentral:lncRNA from 1 species
CCACAAGGGAGCAGGCCUCGAAGGCCUUGUAAAUGAGUGUUUGCAGGGCCCCUCCCUGACUACAGCCCAUAUGUCAGGACACACACCUCCGGACUGCUAAAUGGCUGAGAAAAGGACAACCGUUUUCCGUGUUGGUACGACAUGCAGCAUUGGCCAGUCAAGGAUUGAGAUCAGUCAGAGUGACAGUUUCUGGGGAAACCCUCAAUACCUUUAAGGGGAGAUCAAGGACUCUAUUGAGUUGCAGAGAAGUUACUGAAGCCAUUCAUCCAUUUGGCCAACAGCCAUCAACGCAGGCCAAGGGUGUACAUGACAUUCUCCCUUCUUCCCCAAACAUGGAGUCCUGUCAGCUGGUCUUGUUGACCACCAUACAGAACAGCCUGUACCUCAUAAGAUGCCUGUCUCAGUGUGGGGCAGAGAUUUCUCGUUAAGGAUGUUCCAGCCGUGAACUCUACUGAAAGACAAGUGUC